CGGAGAAUCGAUGCCGGAGAAUCGAUGCCGGAUAUGUUUGGUAACUUUUCGUUUGUCUUGCUGUUCAAGUGGAUUGUUUCGUUUCUGUUUUGGAGGAGAGCAAGUCAAAGCAAAUACAUGUUUGCUAUGUCGGCCAGUAACGCAGGUUUGCGAAUGUUGGUAAACAAGGGACCACAGAUGGGGCAAUGGAGGUGUCUAUCAAGAACACGAUUCUUGAAAUAUUGAUCUCGAACACACAUCUGUGUGGACUUGUGAUCUGGUAUAGGCUGGACAUCUACAUCACACUGUUUAAUUUUUAGAUUUUAAAUAAUUUUUUUCCAACUAUUUUCGUGGGUGAAGUGUUAUUGUUUUUGAUUUGUCGAAAUUGGACUGUUCUCUGAUUGGUUAGUGUUAAAGAAAUGUGGAUACAUAUAUAUAGUCAUAAGAAAUUGCUGGCUU